rnacentral:lncRNA from 1 species
UGGAUUAGAAGGACCAAAUCUCUAAACCCACUCUUGUCCAUUUUUGGUUUACAUUGUGGAACUUUUUGAUGUGUCUGCUUUUGUGCUAGGGAUUCCUAUUUGAGCCAAAGUGAAGAACCAUUGUCAUGUGCAUCUAAAGUGAGAGAUACAAGAGCCAUUGGAAGAUUCCUAAGAGCUUUGCUUGAUUGAUUGAUUGAUUGCUUGAGUA